UACAGAGGUCUCAAGCGUUGUUCGGAUUCAUUGGGCGUAAAGGGUGCGUAGGCGGCGCGGUAAGUCGGGUGUGAAAUCUUGGAGCUUAACUCCGAAACUGCAUUCGAUACUGCCGUUCUUGAGGACUGGAGAGGAGACUGGAAUUUACGGUGUAGCGGUGAAAUGCGUAGAUAUCGUAAGGAAGACCAGUGGCGAAGGCGGGUCUCUGGACAGUUCCUGACGCUGAGGCACGAAGGCCAGGGGAGCAAACGGG
rnacentral:rRNA from 1 species